GUGGAUGUUACCCAUUUCUUUCUUUGCGGUAUACUUCAAUUUAAUUGAAAACAAUGGUUUCCAAUCUGAAGGAUGCCGAAACAACAUGUUUCUACGUCACCAAAAAUUCCGCAUUAUAUUCAGUAACCUGGUUUUUUGGCCCUUCGUUUUAAUGGUGUAUAUUUAUAUUCAUAUCCUCUACAUAGUCAAGAGACACCAAACAAUAAGACUCCGCUUUUACGAAACGGGAUCUCCCGCUCAAAUAAGAACAACAUUACGCAAGAAUUCCAACAUUAAACAAAUGACACGAAACUUUAGAGCUGUCCACACAACGUUAUACAUACUCGGAAGUUUCGUAGUCGGAUGGAUGCCAGCAGUAAUAACGUUUGUGCUGGUUUGUGACGACUGCAUAUUGCAAUUAAAUAGGGUGUCGGCGCGUGUGAUAUUUUUUAUCCACGUUAUAAAUAAUGGUCUCAUUAUCCUAAAAACUUUGGUAAAUCCUAUUAUUUACGCCGCCCAAAUGGACGAGAUUAAGAUCGCCACGAGACGAAUGCAUGACGCCUUCUGCGGAUGGUCAAAGCUCACUCAUUUUACCACUGGCCGAAGGAUCAAUAGUGUUCGAAAAAGAACGGAAACAGAAAGAUCAAUCGGCGAGACCGCGCUAUAAACUCGUUAAGGUACUUCACGGAGUAAAAAGAAAGACCAAACUCAAGCGGCCGAAAAAAAUGGGUUCGAAAUACGGUGUCGGAAAAGCGCUGUAUGGAAGAAUAGAAAUUCUCUAGUAAGAAUUAAGACACCGAGUAAUGAUUUUUUAUUGGUUCCACCAUAUAUAAGGAAAAAGUAGUGUAUACAAAACAGAAUAUACAAAAUGAUAGAUGAUAAAAUGCCUAACUGUGAUGCAGAAGGUUGUAAAAAUUCCUCGAAGGAAGGUUAUAAAAUAUGUUCUAUUCCUAUAAAAAAUAAAGAAAGAUGUGCAAUUUGGGUUGCAAAUAUACCUAAAAAAUAUGCAAAAACUGGACACCUACAAAAUAUUCCGUAUUAUGUCAGAUUCAUUUUGAGCCUGAAAUGUGGGAACGACUUCAAGCGGAUAGCACAUUAAAAUUAAAACAUAAUGCU
rnacentral:misc_RNA from 1 species